rnacentral:rRNA from 1 species
UAAAGCAAUUAAGAGCACAUGGUGAAUGCCUAGGGUCUGAGAGGCGAUGAAGGACGUGGUAAGCUGCGAUAAGCUAAGGAGAGCUGCACACAAGCGUUAUAUCCUUAGAUUUCCGAAUGGGACAACCUAAUAUAUUGAAGAUAUAUUACUCGAAAGAGAGCCAACCCCGAGAACUGAAACAUCUAAGUACCGGGAGGAAAAGAAAACAAUAGUGAUUCCCUGAGUAGUGGCGAGCGAAAAGGGAUAAGCCCAAACCAAUUUGGCGUGCCGAAUUGGGGUUAUAGGACUACAUUUAGAACUGAUUAUCAAGUUGAAUCUUUUGGAAAGAAGAGCUAUAGCAGGUGAUAGCCCUGUAAACACAAAUUAAUCACGACGCGUAGUAUCCUGAGUAAGGCGGAACCGGAGGAAUUCUGCCCGAAUUUGCCAGCACCAUCUGGUAAGGCUAAAUACUCCUCAGACACCGAUAGUGAACCAGUACCGUAAGGGAAAGGUGAAAAGUACCCUGAAUAAGGGAGUGAAAUAGUACCUGAAACCGUGUGCUUACAAGCGGUCGGAGCUUAGUAAUGAGUAACGGCGUGCCUUUUGCAUAAUGAACCUACGAGUUGCUCCUCACUGGCGAGGUUAAGUUCUUUAAUAACGGAGCCGAAGCGAAAGCGAGUCCAAAUAGGGCGAAUAGUCAGUGGGGGCAGACGCGAAACUUUGUGAUCUAUCCAUGGGCAGGUUGAAGGUGUGGUAACACACACUGGAGGACCGAACUCGUUGACGUUGAAAAGUCUUGAGAUGACCUGUGGAUAGGGGUGAAAGGCCAAUCAAACUGAGAGAUAGCUCGUUCUCCCCGAAAUGUUUUUAGGAACAGCGUCGCAUAUAGAAGUUUAUUAGAGGUAGAGCUACUGAUUGGGCUAGGGGGCUUCACCGCCUACCAAACCCUGACAAACUCCGAAUGCUAAUAAAUAUCUGCGGCAGUGAGGCUGUGGGCGCUAAGGUCCAUGGCCGAGAGGGAAAUAACCCAGAUUAGCAACUAAGGUCCCUAAUACAUAGUUAAGUUGAUCAAACGAGGUGGGACUUCUAUAACAGCCAGGAUGUUUGCUUGGAAGCAGCAAUUCAUUUAAAGAGUGCGUAACAGCUCACUGGUCGAGAGGUCCUGCACGGAAAAUAAUCGGGCAUCAAACUAUGAACCGAAGUUCUAAACUCUAACUUGUUAGAGUGGUAGGGGAGCAUUGAAAUCUGCAUAGAAGGUGUAUGGCGACAUAUGCUGGAGCGAUUUCAAAAGAAAAUGUAGGUAUAAGUAACGAUAAAAGGAGUGAAAAACUCCUUCGCCGAAAGUCUAAGGUUUCCUGAUCAACGUUAAUCGGAUCAGGGUUAGUCUGGUCCUUAGGAGAACCCGAAAGGGGCAUCUGAUGGAAAGAAGGUUAAUAUUCCUUCACCUACUAUACAUUAAAAGUGACGGAGAAUGCUAGCUACAUAGGCAGACGGAUGCUGAGUGAAUCCUUCGGGUGAAGCGUAGUAGUGAAAGUUCUUCCAAGAAAAGCGAGUAUAGCAGCCAGUACCGCAAACCGACACAGGUAGACGGGAUGAGUAUUCUAAGGCGCUCGGGUGAGCCGUGGAGAAGGAACUAGGCAAAUUAACGCUGUAACUUCGGGAUAAAGCGUACCAUAGAGAUAUGGUCACAGUAAAAUGAUUCAACCAACUGUUUAACAAAAACACAGGGCCCUGCAAAAUCGAAAGAUGACGUAUAGAGCCUGAUACCUGCCCGGUGCUGGAAGGUUAAGGAAGGAUGUUCGGCGCAAGCCAAAGCUUCUGACUGAAGCCCCAGUAAACGGCGGCCGUAACUAUAACGGUCCUAAGGUAGCGAAAUUCCUUGUCGGGUAAGUUCCGACCUGCACGAAUGGUCUAAUGAGUUGAGUACUGUCUCCUCCACGAGCCCGGUGAAAUUGUAGUAUCGGUGAAGAUGCCGGUUACCCG